rnacentral:rRNA from 1 species
UACGAAGGGGGCUAGCGUUGUUCGGAAUUACUGGGCGUAAAGCGUGCGCAGGCGGCCUUCCAAGUCAGGGGUGAAAGCCCAGAGCUCAACUCUGGAAUUGCCUUUGAGACUGUGAGGCUUGAGUACGGGAGAGGUGAGUGGAAUUCCCAGUGUAGAGGUGAAAUUCGUAGAUAUUGGGAAGAACACCGGUGGCGAAGGCGGCUCACUGGCUCGUAACUGACGCUCAUGCACGACAGCGUGGGGAUCAAACAGG